rnacentral:rRNA from 1 species
AUACGGAGGAUGCAAGCGUUAUCCGGAUUUAUUGGGUUUAAAGGGUGCGUAGGCUGACGUGUAAGUCAGAGGUGAAAUGUCCGGGCUCAACCUGGGAACUGCCUUUGAUACUGCAUGUCUGGAGUUCGGAUGCCGUGGGAGGAAUGGGCAGUGUAGCGGUGAAAUGCAUAGAUAUUGCCCAGAACACCGAUUGCGAAGGCAUCUCACGAAUCCGACACUGACGCUGAGGCACGAAAGCGUGGGGAUCAAACAGGAUUAGAUACCCUUGUAGUCCACGCAGUAAACGAUGAUAACUAACCGUCGGCGAUAGACAGUCGGUGGCCAAGCGAAAGCGAUAAGUUAUCCACCUGGGGAGUACGGCCGCAAGGUUAAAACUCAAAUGAAUUGACGGGU